UUUUUCUACUGCUCGUGGAUUUACGCGCACGUUGGAACCGAAGAGAGCUCUGUUGUUGCAAUGUUCAGCCCACAAGAGCUUACUGGUGAAGGAAUGGGACAAGACCCAUCUUUAUGCAAAGCCAGCGUUACAGUAAUGUUCCAGGUAUUCCUGAUGACAGUCUGCCUCUAUCUUACAGAGCAGCUUGUUGCUAUAUACCAUUGAAAAGCCUUCAGAGCUGAGAGGUACUACUAACCAAUAACCUGCUUGGCUCAAAGGGCCAGCACCUUCUCUCUAAAGCCCAAGAGGAGUUUGAGGAAAACUAGGUGUCUGUGUUCACUCCAGGCUGAAGUUACAGGUGAGCACUGUAUAGAUGACCACUUUCGUAAACUACUGACCUAGCUUGUUGCCAAUUGUUGAUUGAACUUCCCAUAACUCCACUUCGUGUCUGUUCCUCUGUAUACAGCCACCUUCUGUUCCCGUCAUGAGCCUUUAGGUCUCCAUUUGCAUAUUGCAAAUACUAUGUUCCAUGUAGGUAGCUCAUUCAGGGCCUUGCUCUUCACUUCAAAAAAGGUUCCCUUGAGGACUGGCUGUCAAUUUGUGUUGCUGUGUUGGUUGUUGAUGAAAAUAAUAAAAUGAUUGAUUACAUA
rnacentral:lncRNA from 1 species